UACGGGGGGGGCAAGCGUUGUUCGGAAUUACUGGGCGUAAAGCGUGCGCAGGCGGUUCGACAAGUCCGAUGUGAAAGCCCCGGGCUCAACCUGGGAAUGGCAUUGGAAACUGGCGGGCUGGAGUGUGGCAGAGGGGGGUGGAAUUCCGCGUGUAGCAGUGAAAUGCGUAGAGAUGCGGAGGAACACCGAUGGCGAAGGCAGCCCCCUGGGCUGACACUGACGCUCAGGCACGAAAGCGUGGGGAGCAAACAGG
rnacentral:rRNA from 1 species